AUCUGCCUGGCCCAGGUCACACAGCUGGAAUACCGGUUACCAUGGAGACCCCAGGGCGAAGAGGAGGGACGUCCACUCUGGUAUCAUCCAGCAGCUUCCAACCUUCUUUCAUCCUGGCCCAAGCUGUGGCCCUUCUUCCAGUUGCCAAUACCACCCACAUGGGGCCUCCGGUGGAGGGAAAAGGAGCAGCUGACCCCCGGGGGGGUGGCGGGGGGAGAGCUUCAGGCUGAAGGUGAUGUUCGCAGCGGAGGAGGAGGAAGUGAGCCCUGCCCCACGGCUGGCCAAGCAGAACUGCCACGAAGAAAAUUAUGAGGGGCCAAAUGGGAUACACGAGAAAUACUGGAUAUCCAUGCAGUGGAAUAUUGUUUGACCAGUAAAAGGAAUACAAUACAUGCUUCAUCGUGAAUGACCCUCGGGAACACUAUGCUAAGUGAGAGAAGCCAGUCACGAAUGAGAAUACAUUAACUGCCUGAGAUAGGAAAUGAAGUGUUUGGUGAUGGGAUAAAUCUUCAAAACGCUGCACUGGAUGAGCAAAGUGAUGGAAUGCGUAUGCACAGAGUGGGGGUACACGUCUUCCUACACCUGGGGCCGAAAGGGAGAGAGAGCGCGCGCACAAGCAGGGGGAGCAGAAGGAGAGGGAGAAGCAGGCUCCCCGCUGAGCAGGGAAUCCAAGGUGAGACUGGAUCCCAGGACCCCAGGAUUGUGACCGGAGCCGGAGGCAGAUGCUUAACGCCUGAGCCACCCUGGUGCCCCUACAUUUUGAUAUUGAGUAUGAAAAGUUCCCCAACAGAAACAUGGAAAUAGCAGUACUGUCCAUUUCCAGUUCCCACCUGCGUGUGCCGGGGUGUCAGCCAGGGCUACGGAACAGGGAGAAAGAGAAGAACUUCCCCUAUGGCAGCAGUGGUCCACCUGCUCGGACCACUUCCCUCUCCCACGCCCCCUGCAGCCCGCCACACAGGUGGAGGAGACACAGGCCCCAACUCACGCGUCGCUGUAUACCCUCCCUCCUUUCACCCCACCCUUCUCUUCUCAAGGAAGAGGCCCAGGUUUGGGCAGCAAUAAAAGGAAC